UACGUAGGGGGCAAGCGUUGUCCGGAUUUAUUGGGCGUAAAGAGCGUGUAGGCGGCUUGACAGGUCUGCUGUGAAAACUCGAGGCUCAACCUCGAGAUGUCGGCGGAAACCGUCUGGCUAGAGUCCGGAAGAGGAGAGUGGAAUUCCUGGUGUAGCGGUGAAAUGCGUAGAUAUCCGGAGGAACACCAGUGGCGAAGGCGACUUUCUGGCCUGUUCUUGACGCUGAGGCGCGAAAGCUAGGGGAGCAAACGGG
rnacentral:rRNA from 1 species